rnacentral:rRNA from 1 species
ACAAGCGGAGGAGCAUGUGGUUUAAUUCGAUGAUACGCGAGGAACCUUACCUGGGCUCGAACGUAAGAUGACUGUAGGUGAAAGCUUACAUCUCUUCGGAGCAUUUUACGAGGUGCUGCAUGGUUGUCGUCAGCUCGUGCCGUGAGGUGUCGGGUUAAGUCCCAUAACGAGCGCAACCCCUACCUUUAGUUGCCACCAGGUAAUGCUGGGGACUCUAAAGGAACUGCCUACGCAAGUAGUGAGGAAGCGGGGAUGACGUCAAAUCAGCACGGCCCUUACGUCCAGGGCUACACACGUGCUACAAUGGCCGAUACAGAGGGCAGCUACCUGGUGACAGGAUGCAAAUCUCCAAAGUCGGUCUCAGUUCGGAUCGGAGUCUGCAACCCGACUCCGUGAAGUUGGAUUCGCUAGUAAUCGCGCAUCAGCCAUGGCGCGGUGAAUACGUUCCCGGGCCUU